AUGAUCCCGGGUUUAUUAGUUGUUUUUCCGGACUACUGCGCGGUACACCGACAUCUCUGUGCCUGGGGCUGUCACUUGGUCAACCUCCUCCCUGCCUCCACCCCGAGCGGUUCCUUAGCCUCACUCUCGCCUCCGCUACACCUCAGCCUCCUUCACUGGCAAUCCGUCUUGACCAGCCCUUUUGGGGGUGAGGGGGCGGUGGCACUUCCCCGACCCCACCUCAUCUCCCCCUCUAGCUUGGCUGUCAUCCUUCGAAAUGAUGGCGUUAACCAUUGUUGUGCUGGGACCGUGUCACCAGAACACCAGAGUGGAAGAGGAACCAGAUUAAAAUAUGACUUUGAUUUCUUCAGCUGAAAACUGCCUGUUUAAGUAUUACCUCACACCUAUCUGUGACAGAAAAGGAAAAUGAUCAGUAUUGGAGGAGGGGUGAAAAAUUGGACUAUCGGUGUACUUGGACACUUUGAUGAUUGAUGAUUAGAGUUGUGAUAUGAUCCAGCCAUUCUGGAAAACAAUUUGGAACUAUGCCCAAAGGACUCUAAAUCUGUGAAUUCCCUUGGAUGCAGCAAUAUUGCUACUAGGUCUGUAUCCCAAAGAGAUACUUUAAAAAGGGGGAAAUGACCUAUUUGGACAAAAAUAUUUGGUGGUAGCAAAGAAUUUGGAAUUGAGGGAUUGUCCAUCAAUGGAGGGAUGCCUGAACAAGUUAUGAUAUAUAAUUGUGAAGGAAUACUAGUGUGCUAUAAGAAAUGACAAGCAAUAUGAUUUUGGAAAAACUUACAUGAAUCAAAGCAAAGUGAAGUGAGCAGAACCAAAAGAACAUUAUACAUGACAACAAUAUUUUUUGAUGAACUAUGAGCGUCAUAGUUAUUUGUAGUGAUCCAAGACAACCCCAGGGAUUCAUGAUGAAAAAUGCUAUCUGCUUUUGGAGUAAGACUGAUGGAGUCUAAAUGCAGAUAGAAACACAUACUGUACUUACUUUCCUUUUGUUUGUUUGCUUAAGAUCUCUUCCACAAAAUGGCUAAUAUGAAAAAAUGUUUAAUAUUGUAAAUAUAAAUGUAAAUUUUAUAAAAAA
rnacentral:lncRNA from 1 species